UACGAAGGGGGCUAGCGUUGCUCGGAAUUACUGGGCGUAAAGGGAGCGUAGGCGGAUAGUUUAGUCAGAGGUGAAAGCCCAGGGCUCAACCUUGGAAUUGCCUUUGAUACUGGCUAUCUUGAGUACGGAAGAGGUAUGUGGAACUCCGAGUGUAGAGGUGAAAUUCGUAGAUAUUCGGAAGAACACCAGUGGCGAAGGCGACAUACUGGUCCGGUUCUGACGCUGAGGCGCGAAAGCG
rnacentral:rRNA from 1 species